GGAGCGAGCCUCAGUGCUUUGAACGCCUCCUGCUCCAUCACAGUGACUGCUCAAGGCAGGACACCUGAUCCUAUCGGAAUCCACCCACGGGAACCAGCAAGUGAUUCUUGAACAUUUAUGCCAGAGAAAUGAAGACUUAUCUUGACAUGAAAAUGAAUGGACGUUUAUUUGUAAUAGCCAAACCUGGAAACAAUCCAAGUGUCCUUCAACAGAUAAUCCAAGACGGAGGAGAAGCAUCUCCAUGGCACCUCACUCUGAUUUGCGAGGAUUUGGCCAGAGAAACUGUUCUCAAGAGUGUGAAUUAGGUGGCAGCUACUAUUUUAUGGUACCUCGCUAUCCACUUUGUAAGAAAACAAAAAGAACACAUGAUGAGGCUCUGGGUCAGCCAGGAUUCUAGAUUCUGCUGCCAGACACAUCUUACAAGGAGUCUCCGAGAGCAGAGGGAGCACAUCCCCUGACACCUCGCACAUGACAGUUGCUUCAUCAGUGCUGGUUGUGCUCCUGAGAACUCAGCAUGGAGAGAGGCCUAGUCCCCGCUCCCCUGCUCCCAAUUGCUCUGUGACUCAUUCUCACGGCUCGCCCUUCAGGUUCUCGUUCUUGAAUUUCUCCUGCUCCCUCCCACUCCCAGUCCUUUGCCAUGUCUCCCCUGUGCCUGGAACACUUUUUGAUGCAGGUCACCUCCAGGACUCUGCCACUUUCAAGUUGAGUGUUCCAGGCAUCGUACGACCCCGUGUUGCAGACGAAGAAACUGAGGCGCAAGGAGGUUCCUCGGCUUGUAUGCCUGGGUGUCAUGUAUGAGCCAGGCCGUCUAGAGCCACCAAGGUCUGAGCUCCUGCCUCCGAUCUGGGAUCUCCCCACAUCUUCGCUGACUCUGGAAGGAACUAGGGGCCUGUGGGGAAGUCCCGCCCUCUGGGGAGAACAACUGAGGCUGAGCCAGAGCUGAGAACCACUGUGAUGGGGAAGCAAGGCAGCUGGAGCCCGUCCUAAACCCGAACGGAAAUGAACUAGACAUC
rnacentral:lncRNA from 1 species